rnacentral:lncRNA from 1 species
UUUUCUUCCCAGGGGGGGGUUGGCAGAAUUCUCUGUUCUCUGGGCACCAUCAGAAGACCUGGUCUCUGUCACCACUGUAUAUGUCCUCUGGUUUAUUUCUCCCACUGCUGUUUUGCCACCUCUAGAGCCGUAGAUUGCCCCAUAAACCUCCUGGCUACUCAGCAGGCUGACACCUUCUCUGCUGGAAAGUGGAAGAAGAUGAGUGCCACGGGCUCCCUUUGCCACUGCAUCCAUUAAAUCUCCCGAGGACACACUUACCAGGACCUCCCACUAGAGGGCGCGACGGUCCCGCCGGUUCCUUGCCAGGUGGCUCCAGCUGCGGCGGACAUCAGAGCAUCUCCCAGGGACUAGAAGUUCAGACUAAUGAGAUUGAGAAAAGAGCAUUUCCACAUUUGCAAGGCGCCUGUGCUGCUCCGGAGGUCCCCAUUACUCUGUCCAGAAUCCUUUAUUGCUUCCUGGUCCCCGAGGGCCUGCUGGAACCAGAAUGCGAGAAGGGCUCUGCGCGGUUGGCCUUCCUGGACUCACAGCUUCCCUGUGAAGAACCUAGCGGGCUCUGCAACGCCCUGGUCACCCUUUCAGAGUGUUUGAGAGCUUAUAUGGGAUAUGUUUAAGCUGAGACAGGUCCCCAGCCACCCACAGCACGGGUAAGGGAGCAUGGGCAGGGGACCCUCGGGGCAAGUGUUCCAGGCCAUGCCCAGCCUCAGAGGGCCCUGAGGCUGGCGAGGGCAGCGUGCUCAGAGGAGAUGGAGGCCAGUGCGGCUGGAGCUGGGGGGACGGCGAGUGGGGGCCACCACCUCCCCAAACUUCUCCAUUAAGUAGCUGUGGGCAGAGACUGUUCCUCCCCGAGGCUGGAGGAGGGAAAGAAUGGGGGUGCCUCUCGGAUUUUUACCCACUCCUACCUGGGGGCAGGGUUGCUGCUGCCUCCCGGCUAACCACCUGUGGGAAAGUAGACAGAUCCUCCCCAGCAACCAGCCACUCCUCCUUUUCCUCCUAGCCAACUGUCACAGGUGUGUGAACCGCAGCAACUCCAUCUUGAAUAGGGGCUGGGUAAAAUGAGGCUGAGACCUAACUGGGCUGCAUUCCCAGAUGGUUAAGGCAUUCUGAGUCACGGGAUGAGAUAGGAGAUCAGCACAAGAUACAAGUUGUUCAAGACCUUGAUUAUAAAACAGGUUGCAGUAAAGGAACCAGCCAAAACCCACAAAACCAAGAUGGUGACAAGAGUGACCUCUGGUUGUCCUCACUGCUGUACACCCACGAGCGCCAUGACAGUUUACAAAUGCCAUGGCAAUGACAGGAAGUUACUCUGUAUGGUCUAAAAAGGGGAGGCAUGAAUAAUCCACCCUUUGUUUGGCACAUAAUCAAGAAAUAACCAUAAAAAUGGGCAACCAGCAGCCCCCAGGGCUGCUCUGCCUAUGGAAUAGCCAUUCUUUUAUUUUUUUACUUUCCCAAUAAACUUGCUC